CCUACGGGGGGCAGCAGUGAGGAAUAUUGGUCAAUGGCCGGAAGGCUGAACCAGCCAUGCCGCGUGAAGGUCAGUGCCCUAUGGGCGUUAAACUUCUUUUGUGCGGGAGCAAUAAUGGUCACGUGUGGCCAGACGAGAGUACCGUACGAAUAAGCAUCGGCUAACUCCGUGCCAGCAGCCGCGGUAAUACGGGGGAUGCAAGCGUUAUCCGGAUUUAUUGGGUUUAAAGGGUGCGUAGGCUGUGAGGUAAGUCAGCGGUGAAAUGCCCCCGCUCAACGGGGUGAAGGGCAAUUGAUACUGCCUGGCUGGAAUGCGGAUGCCGUGGGAGGAAUGUGAGGUGUAGCGGUGAAAUGCAUAGAUAUCACACAGAACACCGAUUGCGAAGGCAUCUCACGAAUCCGCGAUUGACGCUGAUGCACGAAAGCGUGGGUAUCAAACAGGAUUAGAUACCCUUGUAGUC
rnacentral:rRNA from 1 species